rnacentral:rRNA from 1 species
GUGCCAGCCACCGCGGUAAUACCGGCAGCCCGAGUGAUGGCCGAUCUUAUUGGGCCUAAAGCGUCCGUAGCUGGCUGCGCAAGUCCGUCGGGAAAUCCACGCGCUCAACGCGUGGGCGUCCGGCGGAAACCACUCGGCUUGGGGCCGGAGGACUCGAGGGGUACGUCUGGGGUAGGAGUGAAAUCCCGUAAUCCUGGACGGACCGCCGAUGGCGAAAGCACUUCGAGAAAACGGAUCCGACAGUGAGGGACGAAAGCCAGGGUCUCCAACCGGAUUAGAAACCCCAGUAGUCC